UGUCUCGUUGUCGGCGCCCGCGUCUGCUGUUUGGAAAUGUAAUCAUUUUUGUAACCGAAAAUUAAAAACACGCUUAUUUCUUAUGUUAAAUGUUAAGUAUUUAUUAAAAUUUAGUGUUAUCAGGUUCAUCUUCAGUCGCUUAGUGAAAUAAAGUGUUCUAUGAUGAGUGUGACAACUGAUAAAUGUAACGGCAUACAUAAGCGAAAAAAGCGGGUGAUCCGACUUGUCGAACGUCCUUCCUCCGAGCUGGUUUCGGAGUCGCCGUCAGUACGUCGAAUCCAGAUCAAAUACAGCACCUGUCCCAAUCCGCUGUAUGAACGGUUACUACAGGAGAUGAUUGUAGAGGCACAAGAGAAGGAUGCCAAAAGUCGUAUGGUUCUACAAAAGGCACUGGCAUCUUUGAAGCGAUAUCCGUUGCCAAUCUACCGGCCGAGAGACUGCGCCAUUCUGGUCGGAUUUGGGAUGGGAGUUUGCGAAAGUUUGACUUCAAGACUGGCGAAUUAUGCGAAACAAGGUUGCGGUCAGUUCGAUAGAGAAGUGAACAAAGCGGAGAUCGAGAGAGUGUUGAACGAUAAGGAAGGUGACUAUUGCAUGCAAUUAUUAACUCCGGAGGACGAUCAGCAUUCAGUGGAAGAAUCAGACAAACCAGACAAAGAGAUGGUGGAACAAAGUGACGAGAUUUUUAAGAUACCGGAUGAUUCAGUAUUUGAUAAUAUGGAUUUGCUGGAUAAUCUACAUUUGAGGGUGUCGAGCCCGAAGGCUAUUUUAUUGGUGGACACACAAGAAACUAUUGGCAAAUCAAAAACCUAUCUGGAUUACACCUUAAAAGAACUUAAACAGCACAAUAUUGAGUAUGAAGUCCGGCGUUUAAGCGUCGGCGAUUUCUUAUGGAUUGUUCGCGAUGAUAGUGGAGAGGAAUUCAUCCUCCCCUAUAUUGUAGAACGGAAGCGGAUGGACGAUUUGGCGAGUAGCAUAAAGGACGGUCGGUUUCAUGAGCAAAAGUUUCGACUUAAACAGUGCCGAUUGGCAAAUGUGGUGUAUUUGAUUGAGCAUCUGGGAAACAAUCGUCAGGUGGGUGUUCCUGAAGCAACGCUUUCCCAGGCUGUAUUGAAUACCUUUGUUCAGGAUUUCACGGUCAAGUACACUGAGAAUAAUCACCAUACGGUGCUGUAUUUGUCCACGAUGACCAAACUGUUGAACAAGAACCUUUUGGGCAAAACUUUCUGGAACACCACCAAUUUAUCUUCGGAGACGACUUCCUCCAAAUUUGACAUCCAACAAAGCACCAUUCCGUUGAUCUCAUUUGAAAGCUUUAGCAAGCAAUCGUCCAAAACGGGAGACAGCACGGUGAGAGAAAUCUUCAUGAAACAGUUGCUGCAAAUCAAGCUUCUCACGAUUGAUAAAGCGAACGCAAUCGUGGACAAGUAUCCCACUCCAAAGAAACUAUAUUUGGCGUAUGAGAAAUGCACCAGCGAGGCGGAGAAGGAGAAACUUCUAAACCUACCGUACGGGCCAGCGAAGACGAUGAUCGGAUUGAAGUUGAGCAAAACGAUUUAUCAAUUAUUCAUGAGCGAUGUCUAUGGCAAAUGAGAUUGCGCUCAAAUUCGAAAGGAUAAUGAUGAUCAAUGGAUCGCAUCGCAGUGCUUUGAGUACCAACUUUCAGAAGGAGGUUCAUCAUCAGGAUACUCACGUGGUAAUACCGGUAUCCCAUCCAGGAAAGUGCGUUUCGGAUUGAAAAAUGACAACGGACCUUAUUCACUUAUGCCAUUUUCUGUGAGGUCUAUAUUUGGGCGCUUGGUCGAUGUGAGUGUUGUUUGUGUGGGUAUCUCACAAGGAACGAAACGGAUGAAUUAAUCUUUUACAUAUCUACAGAUUUUAAACUUAAUAAAUGGAGCAAAAAUAGAAACAAUCGCUUCCGCUCGAAACGU